GCCCGAAUGGUGUAAUGGUAGACACAAAGGACUUAAAAUCCUUCGGCUUUGGCCGUACCGGUUCGAGUCCGGUUUCGGGCA
rnacentral:tRNA from 1 species